UACGGGGGGGGCAAGCGUUGUUCGGAAUUACUGGGCGUAAAGGGCGCGUAGGCGGUCUGCUAAGUUGGAUGUGAAAACUCUGGGCUUAACCCAGAGCCUGCAUUCAAUACUGACAGGCUAGAGUUCUGGAGGGGAUAGCGGAAUUCCUGGUGUAGCGGUGAAAUGCGUAGAUAUCAGGAGGAACACCGGUGGCGAAGGCGGCUAUCUGGACAGUUCCUGACGCUGAGGCACGAAGGUCAGGGGAGCAAACGGG
rnacentral:rRNA from 1 species